UACGUAGGGUGCAAGCGUUGUCCGGAAUUAUUGGGCGUAAAGAGCUUGUAGGCGGCCUGUCGCGUCGACUGUGAAAACCCGCAGCUCAACUGCGGGACUGCAGUCGAUACGGGCAGGCUAGAGUUCGGUAGGGGAGACUGGAAUUCCUGGUGUAGCGGUGAAAUGCGCAGAUAUCAGGAGGAACACCGGUGGCGAAGGCGGGGAUCCUGGGCCAGUACUGACGCUGAGGAGCGAAAAGCGUGGGGAGCAAACAGG
rnacentral:rRNA from 1 species